CAGAAUGAAACAACAGCAGAUAUCAGCUCCCGCUAAAGCAAAAGACGACUACAUGCGUAGACUACUGCGCAGGUGUAGAGCGCGCGGUCGUCUGCAGGAGGUUUGCUGGAACGCGAUCCUGAGGUGAAAUUUCUUUAAGAGGUUUUAAAAACGUUCUACACUGUGGAGUACAGCUGCGAGUGAUGUUAGCAGGUUCCGCAUGCUGGAUAAGAACAGCAUUUGUGAGACGACAUCAACUCAUCAUCCGAGUGGACAAGAACACCAACAGAGGAAGCCAAGCCGCAAAAACAAUGAAAAAUUGUCAUGACUUUUUAUUUUAAAUAAAAGUUAUGUGAUAAUAAACAUUAA